UACGUAGGUGGCAAGCGUUAUCCGGAAUUAUUGGGCGUAAAGAGCGCGCAGGUGGUUGAUUAAGUCUGAUGUGGAAGCCCACGGCUUAACCGUGGAGGGUCAUUGGAAACUGGUCGACUUGAGUGCAGAAGAGGGAAGUGGAAUUCCAUGUGUAGCGGUGAAAUGCGUAGAGAUAUGGAGGAACACCAGUGGAGAAGGCGGCUUCCUGGUCUGUAACUGACACUGAGGCGCGAAAGCGUGGGGAGCAAACAGGAUUAGAUACCCCU
rnacentral:rRNA from 1 species